UAACACGUAGGGAACCUGCCUGCAUGAGCGGGAGAACUUCUGGAAACGGAAGCUGAUACCGGAUGAGCAAAGAGGAGGCAUCUUCUUUUUGGAAAAGGGGACAAGAGUCCCGCAUGCAGAUGGACCUGCGGUGCAUUAGCUGGUUGGAGAGGUAACGGCUCACCAAGGCGACGAUGCAUAGCCGGCCUGAGAGGGCGGACGGCCACACUGGGACUGAGACACGGCCCAGACUCCUGCGGGAGGCAGCAGUAGGGAAUUUUCGUCAAUGGGGGGAACCCUGAACGAGCAAUGCCGCGUGAGCGAGGAAGGUCUUCGGAUCGUAAAGCUCUGUUGCCGGGGACAAAAGGCAGAAAGAGUGGAAAGCUUUCUGAGUGAUGGUACCCGGCGAGGAAGUCACGGCUAACUACGUGCCAGCAGCCGCGGUAAUACGUAGGUGGCGAGCGUUAUCCGGAAUGAUUGGGCGUAAAGGGUGCGCAGGCGGCCGGGCAAGUCCGCAGUAAAAACUGGAGGCUCAACCUUCAGGGGCUGCGGAAACUGUCCGGCUGGAGAGCAGGAGAGGACGGUGGAACUCCAUGUGUAGCGGUAAAAUGCGUAGAUAUAUGGAAGAACACCGGUGGCGAAGGCGGCCGUCUGGCCUGCAUCUGACGCUGAGGCACGAAAGCGUGGGGAGCAAAUAGGAUUAGAUACCCUAGUAGU
rnacentral:rRNA from 1 species